rnacentral:rRNA from 1 species
UACGUAGGUGGCGAGCGUUGACCGGAUUUACUGGGCGUAAAGGGCGUGCAGGCGGUUUGUUAAGUGCAGGGUGAAAGCUCCCGGCUCAACUGGGAGAGGUCCUUGCAUACUGGCGAACUCGAGGGAGGCAGAGGAAAGUGGAAUUCCCGGUGUAGUGGUGAUAUGCGUAGAUAUCGGGAGGAACACCUGUGGCGAAGGCGGCUUUCUGGGCCUUACCUGACGCUGAGACGCGAAAGCGUGGGGAGCGAACCGG